CCCUUAGAUGUUCGGGGCCGCACGCGCGCUACACUGAAGGACUCAGCGUGUCUCUCCCCCUAUCCCGAAAGGGAUGGGCAACCCGUUGAACCUCCUUCGUGCUAGGGAUUGGGGUUUGCAAUUAUCCCCCAUGAACGAGGAAUUCCCAGUAAGCGCGAGUCAUCAGCUCGCGUUGAUUACGUCCCUGCCCUUUGUACACACCGCCCGUCGCUCCUACCGAUUGAAUGGUCCGGUGAAGCGUUUGGACUAUGGUUUUCUGACGGUUCGCCAUUGGAUUACCGUGGGAAAUUCGUUAAACCUUAUCAUUUAGAGGAAGGAGAAGUCGUAACA
rnacentral:rRNA from 1 species